GACGAACGCUGGCGGCGUGCCUAAUACAUGCCAGUUGAGCGCUGAAGGUUGGUACUUGUACCAACUGGAUGAGCAGCGAACGGGUGAGUAACGCGUGGGGAAUCUGCCUUUGAGCGGGGGACAACAUUUGGAAACGAAUGCUAAUACCGCAUAAAAACUUUAAACACAAGUUUUAAGUUUGAAAGAUGCAAUUGCAUCACUCAAAGAUGAUCCCGCGUUGUAUUAGCUAGUCGGUGAGGUAAAGGCUCACCAAGGCGAUGAUACAUAGCCGACCUGAGAGGGUGAUCGGCCACAUUGGGACUGAGACACGGCCCAAACUCCUACGGGAGGCAGCAGUAGGGAAUCUUCGGCAAUGGACGAAAGUCUGACCGAGCAACGCCGCGUGAGUGAAGAAGGUUGUCGGAUCGUAAAACUCUGUUGGUAGAGAAGAACGUUGGUGAGAGUGGAAAGCUCAUCAAGUGACGGUAACUACCCAGAAAGGGACGGCUAACUACGUG
rnacentral:rRNA from 1 species